GUAGGUGGCAGNGUAAGUAGGGAGUGAAAGCGUUCGGCUCAACCGAAUAAACAUUUCUUAAACUGCUCAGCUAGAGAACGAGAGAGGUAGAUGGAAUUCCCAGUGUAGGAGUGAAAUCCGUAGAUAUUGGGAGGAACACCGAUGGCGUAGGCAGUCUACUGGCUCGUUUCUGACACUAAGGCACGAAAGCGUGGGUAGCAAACAGGAUUAGAUACCCUGGUAGUCCACGCCGUAAACUAUGGAUGCUAGCUGUUAGAAGUAUCGACCCUUCUAGUAGCGAAGCUAACGCGUUAAGCAUCCCGCCUGUGGAGUACGGUCGCAAGACUAAAACAUAAAGGAAUUGACGGGGACCCGCACAAGCGGUGGAGCGUGUUGUUUAAUUCGAUGGUAAGCGAAGAACCUUACCCAGGCUUGACAUCCUUGGAAGCACUGCGAAAGCAGAGUGUGCCUUCGGGAACCAAGUGACAGGUGAUGCAUGGCCGUCGUCAGCUCGUGUCGUGAGAUGUUUGGUUAAGUCCAUCAACGAGCGCAACCCCUGUGGCUAGUUGUAUUUUUCUAGUCAGACUGCCCUGGUAACAGGGAGGAAGGAGGGGAUGAUGUCAGGUCAGUAUUUCCCUUACGUCUGGGGCUACAAACACGCUACAAUGGCCGGUACAAAGGGCUGCCAAGUCGCAAGACGGAGCAAAUCCCAUCAAAGCCGGUCUCAGUUCGGAUUGGAGGCUGAAACUCGCCUCCAUGAAGUCGGAAUCGCUAGUAACGGUGGGUCAGCACACUACCGUGAAUACGUUCCCGGGUCUUGUACACACCGCCCGUCAAACCAUGAAAGUCGCCAAUACCUGACGUCCUAGCUUGUCUAGGCCUAAGGUAGGGGGGAUGAUUGGGGUU
rnacentral:rRNA from 1 species